UACAGAGGUCUCAAGCGUUGUUCGGAUUCAUUGGGCGUAAAGGGUGCGUAGGUGGCGCUGUAAGUCAGGUGUGAAAUUUCGGAGCUUAACUCCGAAACUGCAUUUGAUACUGCGGUGCUCGAGGACUGGAGAGGAGACUGGAAUUUACGGUGUAGCAGUGAAAUUCGUAGAUAUUCGCAAGAACACCAGUGGCGAAGGCGGCUCACUGGCCCGGAACUGACGCUGAGGUGCGAAAGCGUGGGGAGCAAACAGGG
rnacentral:rRNA from 1 species